CAACCUCAACUCAUAUGGGACUACCCCCUGAAUUUAAGCAUAUUAAUUAGGGGAGGAAAAGAAACUAACAAGGAUUUUCUUAGUAGCGGCGAGCGAAAAGAAAUCAGUUCAGCACUAAGUCACUUUGUCUAUAUGGCAAAUGUGAGAUGCAGUGUACGGAACAUCAACAUUCUAGUAUGAGAAGUUAACGAUUUAAGUCCUUCUUAAAUGAGGCCAAAAAACCAUAGAGGGUGCCAGGCCCGUAUAACGUUAAUGAUUACUAGAUGGUGUUUCCAAAGAGUCGUGUUGCUUGAUAGUGCAGCACUAAGUGGGUGGUAAACUCCAUCUAAAACUAAAUAUAACCAUGAGACCGAUAGUAAACAAGUACCGUGAGGGAAAGUUGAAAAGAACUCUGAAUAGAGAGUUAAAUAGUACGUGAAACUGCUUAGAGGUUAAGCCCGAUGAACCUGAAUAUCCGUUAUGGAAAAUUCAUCAUUAGAAUUGUAAUAUUUUAAACAAUAUUAUAAUAAUAGUGUGCAUUUUUUCCAUAUAAGGACAUUGUAAUCUAUUAGCAUAAAUAUUUAUCAUAAAAUUAUGUCUGAUUGCUUAUUUGAAUUAUAUGCUUGGCAUUUUAACAUAAAAUAAAAGAUAUAAAUUUGAUAAAGUGCUGAUAGAUUUAUAUGAUUACAGUGCGUUAAUUUUUCGGAAUUAUAUAAUGGCAUAAUUAUCAUUGAUAUUUGUGUUUAUUAUAUGCAUUUGUAUGAUUAACAAUGCGAAAGAUUCAGGAUACCUUCGGGA
rnacentral:ncRNA from 1 species